rnacentral:lncRNA from 1 species
CCUUAUAAGCUAACUUACAAAUCUAAACAAAGAGUGCCUUAAUAGCUUAAUUUGGGCCUUAUACUCCAUUCGUCCCAAAUUAUAAGGUGUCCUUUUUUAAGAAAAAAUCAAACUCGCUAACUUUUAAUUAAUAAUCAUACUAAUCAUAUAUAUGCUAAAUAUAUUUUUAUGUGAUGCUAAUUUCAUAUUUGUUGAGAACAUAAUAUAGAAUAAAUUGAUUAUCAAAAUAUGUCAUUAAAAACCGUGUAAAAAUAUACACCUUAUAAUUUGGGACAAAGAGAGUAUAUAAUAUAAUAAUCAGAUAAAAAAGGUUAUUUAACUUGACUGUGUAUAUCAUCUAUUAUAGAUAUGAUAAUUAAAUUUCUAUCUGUUGGUUAUUUAACAUCUUGCAGUGAAUGGACUAUGCUUCAACUUUCAACUUCUGAUCGGUUAUACCAAAAUAUCAGUGCGAAUUGGGUUACAGACCGUCUCAGCAAAGAACGUUUGGGAUGGAAGCAUUCAAAAACUAGAUAAUACCCUAUGCGUUGCUGCGGGGAAUAAUAAAUAAAUUUCAAAGAUGCACCAUGAGCAUAGUAGCAUAUGAGGAAAGAAAAAAAAUAAUCCUAAGUGAUUGACUUUGUAAAACCUUUAUAAUGACAAUAGAUUCCUUAUGUUAUGGAAUGGAUGGAGUAAAAAUUAUGUGAUGAGCUAUCUAAACUUAGGUAGCCGUGGUUAAAAAUGCAACAGAAUUGCAGGUGAGAUACAUAGGUGCUGACCGGAUAGACCUAGUAUUGGAACAAUAAAAUUAAAGUCUGUUACCUCGUUGCUGAAGAAUGAAAAAUAUGUACACCAUCAAUAAAAUUAUGCAGAAUUAUAUGUUUAAUGUCCAUAUGAACCUUUCUAAAAAAUAUCUAUAUGAACUGAGACUGGAAGGAAAAUAUAUAGGUGGUGUACUGGAACUGAUAUCCUCAUUGACUUGGUAGCCUUGUAUUCUGCAUAAUGUAUUUUGUAGUACAGCUCUCCCUCACUGAUCCUUUUUAGCUCGGUUUUAGUACCUCAGUAGUUUUUUUAGAGGAGUACCUCAGUAGUUAAUCUUGCAAUAGAAUGCUAAUCAGUAAUCAGUUCAUGAAUAAGUUGCUGAAAUAUCAUAUUUUUAUUGCGGUAAGAAACGUACAUUUAGCCGGAAGUAACAAUUACUCCGUAUUAUUUAUAUGUUGUCAUAUGAUACGCCAGGAAUGUGCAGUCAAGGCAUGUAGCAAAUCUGGUCCAUGACUACCAUACAAUUACAAAAUUGAUAACCAUCACUAAAAAGACUCUCAUUUUAUAUUCAAACAUCUACAUACAUAGUCCAAUUAUCACUGUUAGCUGGGAAUCAUAACUAAACUGUUAAACGAUCAUAGAGAAUGGUAGAACAAAUUCCUGCUUAGCUAUCGGAGUUGGGAAAAGGAUUACCUCUAAAAUAUAUAAUUAAGUUCUCAUCCUUCGUUAACUCCUUGCAGUGUUCAUAGCUUUCAGAAAACUUCCGAAAUACCAAUAUUACUAAGCAGAUUCAGUCACAAAUAUGUCCAGAUCAGUUGCACCAGCACCUUAUAUAUACCGUGAUAUAACUUCACCAGCUAAAGAUCAUAAUUGAAUACCAAUUAAAAAAACUUCAUCGGCUUAACAUGCCCAUACAUUCUUAGAUCUGAUUGGGUGACAAAUCAACCAAUGGAUGUAUAUGAUAUUGUUUUCCAUACCCUUCAACCGCUUAAGAGACAAAUCAAGAGUAAAAAUCAACUAAGUCAGUAACCGUGGGCCUAAAACCUGGGAAACAAAAGAGGAUGGGAAACUACAGCAACAAAAAAAUGUGUUAGAGAGUCAAACUGGGUAAAUAAUGCUACUAUAUCCUAAAUAUGAACCAUAGUACAAAAUUGAAUUAAAUAUUGAUAGGAGAAAUCGAAAUGGUGUGCAUGUAUAAGUGAGGUUCUAUUUUGAUGAACAAAAUCCGAUCGAG